GGGCAAUGAUGACAGAUUUACGUUUCUCGAUUCUGAUUUUCUUAAAUUGUUUUGAUUUAAGGACCAAACAGCUCUCUGAUGACAGCGUUUGUGCGUGUCUGAGCCUA
rfam:Corchorus capsularis cultivar CVL-1 contig14524, whole genome shotgun sequence.